CAAACUAAUGAAUGGAUUUCCAAUAAUUUGUCAAUAAUCCAUUUCUAUAAAAGGGCACAUUCAUCAUUAGACACAUAGAAGUUGGAUAAACCCAACAACCUUCCAUCCAGAGUCAACAAAAUUGAAACCCAUUUUUGAGUUGUUGGUGCCUCAUCCUAUAAGUGAUGACAAUGUUAGGAAAUCCGGAGACGUCAUCGGGGGCCCCGGGAAGAGUUAUCUUUUUCUUUUUAACAGCUUGCCCACCCUGAAAUAGUCUCAACCAAAGAUAGGGUCCAACAGUUGGAAGAGCAUCGCACGUCUUGCGGUGUCCGGUGUGCCCUCGAUGGCCCCUGAACAUCUGGAGGAUCGAGUACCAUCCAUGCCCGAUCGUACUCAUAACCGCAUCAGGUCUCCAAGGUGAACAACCUCUG
rnacentral:ncRNA from 1 species